AACCGAGAACUCCGACGGGAGGCAGCAGUGGGGAAUUUUGGACAGUGGGGGCAACCCUGAUCCAGCAAUGCCGCGUGAGUGAAGAAGGCCUUCGGGUUGUAAAGCUCUUUUGUAAGGGAAGAAACGGUAGUAGCUAAUAUCUAUUACUAAUGACGGUACCUGAAGAAUAAGCACCGGCUAACUACGUGCCAGCAGCCGCGGUAAUACGUAGGGUGCAAGCGUUAAUCGGAAUUACUGGGCGUAAAGCGUGCGCAGGCGGUUGUGUAAGUCAGAUGUGAAAUCCCCGGGCUCAACCUGGGAAUUGCAUUUGAGACUGCACGGCUAGAGUGUGUCAGAGGGGAGUAGAAUUCCGCGUGUAGCAGUGAAAUGCGUAGAUAUGUGGAGGAAUACCGAUGGCGAAGGCAGCCCCCUGGGAUAACACUGACGCUCAUGCACGAAAGCGAGGGGAGCACUCAGGAUUUUAAACCCCAGUAGUCCGACUGAGA
rnacentral:rRNA from 1 species